rnacentral:tRNA from 1 species
AUGGGCGUAGCUUAAUGGUAGAGCGACGGAUUCCAACUCCGUUAGGUGCGGGUUCGAGUCCUGCCGCCCGUG